CACACACACACGUAUUACAUAUUACAUUUAUAUUACAUGUGUAUAAUCCUAUGUGCAAAAACGAAAUUUAUUUAUUUUUUCUUCUGUGUGUGUGUGUGUGUGUGUGUGUGUGUGUGUGUGUGUGUGUGUGUGUGUGUGCAAAAGCCCUCAGCUGCAAGGCACUGCUGUGUUGUUAUUUCCACUUAAUAACAUUAUUUCGAGCUAUCGUCAUUAUGUACCCUUAAGAUCUUGUUCUAAUGACGUUAUACAUUUAACACAUUUGAUAUAAUCUUGUCUUUAUAAAGAGUUAUCUUUUUAUUUGGACAUUGACAUUUCAGAUUAAGAUCCCACUCGAUAACUCAUUAUUUAGUUCUCCUGUUAUUCCGACGACACUAUAUCAGAAUUUUGACUUACAUCACGCCCUAUUUAGAGCUAUCUUAUUUUGAUUUAUUUCAACUUAACAUCUCAACAUUUUGACUCAGUAACUCAUUAUUUCGAGUUAUCUCAUUAUUUCAACAUAUCUCCUUAUUUUGACUCACCAGCUCAUUAUUUUGCUGAAAUACAGUAACUCUUAAGUUAUUUUGAGUUAUCUUGUUAUUUCAUGCUAUUUUCAUUAUUCUGAUUUCAUAGCUCGUUAUUUUAUCUUGUUCUGGCAAAUUAUUAUCUCAUUAUUAUUAUCACAUAUUUUGACUGUAUAUAACGCCCCAUAGUCUAUCCGUAAGAUUAAUGUAUAGAACAGAAGCUGAUGAUUCUUAUUCUGUAAGCUGUUUUCCAGAUAUAGUUGAGAUCUAAAUGUGAUCCAGGUAUGGUCAAGUGAAUUACCAAUCAUCACGUAGCCAUGACUGACCUACUUAUCCGGGAAACGGUAUAUGGGGAAAAAAAAGUUAGCAUGUAAUAGUUAAUAAGCCAAUACUCAAUACAUUUGUCCUGUUUAAUGUUAAGUGAAAAUAAGAUAAGAUGACAAAAUUAGAUAAUAACGUGAGAUUACAAGCUGUUAGGUCGGAAUAAUGAGAUAUUAAGUCACAGCACUUCAACAUUUUUUUGCGGUGUGUGUGUGUGUUUGAGAGAGAGACAGAGAGACGAGACAAAGAGAAAGGGUUGGUGAAAAAACGGAAGAGAUGGAGAGUCUCGAGUCGGAACACUGUCUGCACCAUGCUUUUAGUUCAUCUCUUGGCGCCUGAUGGAUUGGAAAAAUGAUGUAAUUGAUUUGUUGAUUUGGUCCAUUGAAGGUUUAGAGUCAAGUAUAUAUGGCUAUGAGCAUAUGUACAGCGCUGUUAGUGGUAGGCUAGUUGCAUUUGUGCGUUACUUUUGUGAUUUUGUGAGUAUUGUGUGUGUGUGUGUGUAUGUAGUUGUUUGAGGCAUAAAAAAAAAAAAAAAGAAGAUAAAAGCCCGAUAAAACACUGUGGCAUGAUCAUAGAGUAAACGAGGAGCCAGAUAGGCCUGUCAGAAUAAUCGUACGAUAUAUCGACGUGACCUUGAUCAUUUUUGCUGACAUUGAUAUCGCCCAUUGCGUUUACAUGCAUGUACGUUUACGUAAGAACGAACGUCACCGACAUUGUAGCCACGUACGCGCUGCUUCCGACCUCACUUCUCCUGUAGGGCUGUCAAAUUCAAAUUCGAACUCCGAAUGUUUGUUUAAGAUAAAAAAUUCACAUUCGAUUGGAAAACGGUGAACUUCGAAUUUAAGAUGUGUAGCAAGCGCUAGCACCGAUUUUGAAUUAAAACAUACUGUUGGAAGAAAAAGAAAAAAAAAACGACACGCAAGAUAUUAACAAUGCACUAACAAUGUUUUCUGAAGAAGAAAAUAUCUAGAAACGGUUCUAGUGUUCGAGAUAAUCCAGUCAUAGUCAAUAACGUCAGGGAUUGAGCCGCUUAAGCCGUGUGAGCUGAAGUGAACGGCGUUGGAACAGCGGUAAACUGAAGCGCUUUACCGCCGGGUUAACUGUCGCCCACAUACAUCCGAAACACGUACGAGAAUAAUCAGACAUUUACACAACAUAAACGUAAUAUUCUGUACAAAAUAACGCAAGCGCACAAGUGAACUCGGACUUAAGUAAGGCGCUAGGUAGAAUGGUAAGGCGUCUUGUGAAUACGCUCUUUCCGUAACAACGCACUAAAAC
ensembl:lncRNA